ACUCAAAUGAAUUGACGGGGGCCCGCACAAGCAGUGGAGUACGUGGUUUAAUUCGAUGAUAAACGAAAAACCUUACCAGGGUUUGACAUGCUAGUGACCGGUGGCGAAAGCUAUUUUUCCCGUAAGGGACACUAGCACAGGUGCUGCAUGGCUGUCGUCAGCUCGUGCCGUGAGGUGUUGGGUUAAGUCCCGCAACGAGCGCAACCCUUACUUUUAGUUGCUACAUUUAGGUGAGCACUCUAGAGGGACUGCCGCCGAUAAGGCGGAGGAAGGAGGGGAUGAGGUCAAGUCAUCAUGGCCUUUAUAUCCUGGGCUACACACAUACUACAAUGGUUAUCACAACGGGGAGCGAAGGGGCGACCUGGAGCCAAUCCUUAAAGGUAACCUCAAUACGGAUUGUAGUCUGCAACUCGACUACAUGAAACUGGAAUUGCUAGUAAUCGCGGGUCAGCUAAACCGCGGUGAAUACGUUCUCGGGCCUUGUACACACCGCCCGU
rnacentral:rRNA from 1 species